rnacentral:rRNA from 1 species
UACGUAGGUGACAAGCGUUGUCCGGAUUUACUGGGUGUAAAGGGCGUGUAGCCGGGCUUACAAGUCAGAUGUGAAAUCCGGGGGCUCAACCCCCGAACUGCAUUUGAAACUGUAGGUCUUGAGUAUCGGAGAGGCAGGCGGAAUUCCUAGUGUAGCGGUGAAAUGCGUAGAUAUUAGGAGGAACACCAGUGGCGAAGGCGGCCUGCUGGACGACAACUGACGGUGAGGCGCGAAAGCGUGGGGAGCAAACAGG